GGAUGAGGGCGAUCUGGCUGAGACAUCUGUCACCCCUUUGACCGCCAAUGUUGAGGCGGCUGAUCUGGCUGGCUAGGUGGGGGUCCCUUUCCUCCCUCACCGCUCCAUGUGCGUCUCUCCUGAGGCUGUGCUCUCAGUGGAAGAAGACAACCUUCCCCAAUAAAAGGAGAACCGUCCCUUGGUCAAGGCUAUACGAGUAGCUGCGCUCCCCUGCGCUCCCCUGCGCUCAUCUAGAACCUCAAAGCAAGUCUCAAGGACUGAAGAAUUUCAGGUCUUGAUGG
rnacentral:snRNA from 1 species